rnacentral:rRNA from 1 species
UGGGGAAUAUUGCACAAUGGGGGAAACCCGUAGCAUGCAGCAACGCCGCGUGAAGGAAGACGGUUUUCGGAUUGUAAACUUCUUUUCUUAGUGAAGAAACAAAUGACGGUAGCUAAGGAAUAAGCAUCGGCUAACUACGUGCCAGCAGCCGCGGUAAUACGUAGGAUGCGAGCGUUAUCCGGAUUUACUGGGUGUAAAGGGAGCGCAGGCGGGACUGCAAGUUGGAUGUGAAAUACCGCAGCUUAACUGCGGAGCUGCAUCAAAACUGUAGUUCUUGAGUGGAGUAGAGGCAAGCGGAAUUCCGAGUGUAGCGGUGAAAUGCGUAGAUAUUCGGAGGAACACCAGUGGCGAAGGCGGCUUGCUGGGCUCUAACUGACGCUGAGGCUCGAAAGUGUGGGGAGCAAACAGGAUUAGAUACC